rnacentral:rRNA from 1 species
AGUGAACGCUGGCGGCAGGCCUAAUACAUGCAAGUCGAACGGCAGCACAGUGGAGCUUGCUCCAUGGGUGGCGAGUGGCGGACGGGUGAGGAAUACAUGGGAAUCUGCCCAGUCGUGGGGGAUAACGUAGGGAAACUUACGCUAAUACCGCAUGCGCCCUUCGGGGGAAAGCCGGGGACCUUCGGGCCUGGCGCGAUUGGAUGAGCCCAUGUUCGAUUAGCUAGUUGGCGGGGUAAAGGCCCACCAAGGCGACGAUCGAUAGCUGGUCUGAGAGGAUGAUCGGCCACACUGGGACUGAGACACGGCCCAGACUCCUACGGGAGGUAGCAGUAGGGAAUAGUGGACAGAGGGCGCAAGCCUGAUCCAGCCAUGCCGCGUGAGUGAAGAAGGCCCUCGGGUUGUAAAGCUCUUUUGUCCGGGAAGAAAAGCAUCGGGCUAAUACCUCGGUGUUCUGACGGUACCGGAAGAAUAAGCACCGGCUAACUUCGUG